rnacentral:ncRNA from 1 species
ACAUGGGGUGCUAAGGGGAUGGGUGGUCCCUUUGGCUGAGAAAAUACCCAUGAACCUGAUCCGGGUAAUGCCGGCGGAGGAAAUGACAAAU